ensembl:lncRNA
UGUGUGUGUUUGUGUGUGUAUUGGGGGGUGGAGGGAUCUACAGCCAUGGUGACCAGAGAGGAUAUGGGUCAGUAGCAUUUGGGGUGGAGAGAGGAGGGGGGUGUUGGAGGAUAAGAAAGGAGAAAGAGUGUGUGAGGCUUUGACAGGAGGAGAAAAUAGUGUGUGAGGCUUUGACAGCAGGACAGAGUGUGUGAGGCUUUGACAGCAGGACAGAGUGUGUGAAGCUUUGACAGGAGGAGAAAAGAAUGUGUGAGGCUUUGACAGGAAUCUUUGUUCUGAGAAGAUCUGUUUGCUUUUAUUUUCCUGUUUUUGUUUUCGUUUUUUUUCUUUUCUUUUCUUUCCAUAUGCGUGCAUCCUCUGUAGUCUGUAAAAUAUAUAACUUGCACUAGCUUUUUGUAAAAAAAAAAGAAGAAGAAGAAGAAAGAAAGAAAGAAAGAAAGAAAAGAAAACUAAUAUAACAGAAUUAUGGAGGAAGUCAAAUUCUAUUUUCUAACAGUGGUGUAUCUAUUUGUAGGACGCACUCACACCAGUUUUCUUGGAUCUUAUGAUUUGAGGGUCCUUUUUGGGGGAUUUUAUUUUAUUUUAUUUUGAUGGUGCUUGCCUGUUUUUCUAGGUAGAAUUGAUUUCAUUUGUAUGGAUAACAAAACACACACACACACACAAAACAAUGUUUGAUUCAGGUUGUGAACAAAUUUGUAAAAAAAAAAUGGAAAGAAAAGAAAGUGUCUGUAUACCAGUACAAGUCUAUUGUUUCAGUAUACACGUACUAAUAAAACACAACUACAGUGCCAACUGCAGGACUCGGGCGUCUGGCUGCAGGUCGUGGGUAUGGGACUGUUUGACUGUGUGUGUGUGUGUGUGUGUGUGUGUGUGUGUGUG